AUACGUAGGGGGCGAGCGUUGUCCGGAAUGAUUGGGCGUAAAGGGCGCGUAGGCGGCUUUGCAAGUCAGUAGUGGAAGUCCAUUUUUCAAGGAUGGAAGUGCUACAGAAACUGCGGAGCUUGAGUGCCGGAGAGGUUAUCGGAAUUCCCGGUGUAGCGGUGAAAUGCGUAGAGAUCGGGAGGAACACCAGUGGCGAAGGCGGGUAACUGGACUGCAACUGACGCUGAGGCGCGAAAGUGUGGGGAGCAAACAGGAUUAGAUACCCUGGUAGUCCACACUGUAAACGAUGAAUGCUAGGUGUAGGAGGUAUCGACCCCUUCUGUGCCGCAGUAAACACAGUAAGCAUUCCGCCUGGGGAGUACGGUCGCAAGAUUAAAACUCAAAUGAAUUGACGGGG
rnacentral:rRNA from 1 species